rnacentral:lncRNA from 1 species
GUGAACUUCUCUCUUUUGUGAGCUUUCCAAAACUCUGCAAUAAAAUGCUUAGAGAGGACUCUAGGUAGCCCUUCAAAAGUUCUAAGCAAACUGGUCCUCUCCCUCUCUGUUGAAUGUUAAGCAGGGAAGUUAAAGAAAGCUACUGAUUUUAUGCCUAAUACUGCAUCACAGAGGGUGAUCCAACAUACCCAAGGGAAUACCGUGCUCUGAGACGACUGCAUGCAGCAACAGGAAGAAGAGUUGUUAUUGUAGAAGAUGAGGAUGUAUAUUCCGGAGCUGAAGACUGACAAUUUCAAUAACUUUGCACACUAACCAAGUGAUCAUGAAGUCCAUACUAAGAAAGAAAAACAUUUUAUUUUUCUAAUUAUGGAAUAAGGGCUUCUGACUUGAUCCAAUAUUUCCACUGGUCUUAAAAAAAAAAAAAAAAAAAAAAAGUCAUAUUCUGUAUGUAUUCUGCAUAAAAUGUCUUCGACUAGUAGUAUGCAGGUAGCAC